GACGAACGCUGGCGGCGUGCUUAACACAUGCAAGUCGAACGGACAGGCCCUGCUCUUGCGGGGUGCUCGAGUGGCGAACGGGUGAGUAACACGUGAGUAACCUGCCCUUGACAUUGGGAUAACUUCAGGAAACUGGGGCGAAUAUCGGAUAGGAGCUCCUGCUGCAUGUGGGUGGUUGGAGAGAUUCGGCGGUUGGGGAUGGACUCGCGGCUUAUCAGCUUGAUGGUGGGGUAGUGGCUUACCAAGGCUAUGAAGGGUAGCCGGCAUGAGAGGGUGACCGGCCACAUUGGGACUGCGGUACGGCGCAGUCGCCUACGGGAGGCAGCAGUGGGGAAUAUUGCACAAUGGGCGGAAGCCUGAUGCAGCAACGUCGCGUUCGGGAUGACGUCCUACGGGUUGUAAACCGCUGUCGCCUUUGACGAAGCGUGCGUGACGGUAAUGGGUAAAGAAGCACCGGCUAACUACGUG
rnacentral:rRNA from 1 species